rnacentral:rRNA from 1 species
GUCCACGCCGUAAACGAUGGAUGCUAGAUGUCGCGGGUAUUGACCCCUGCGGCGUCGAAGUUAACGCAUUAAGCAUCCCGCCUGGGGAGUACGGCCGCAAGGUUAAAACUCAAAGGAAUUGACGGGGGCCCCGCACAAGCGGUGGAGCAUGUGGUUCAAUUCGACGCAACGCGCAGAACCUUACCUGGGUUAAAUCCACCGGAAUCCCGCAGAGAUGUAGGAGUGCUCGCAAGAGAGCCGGUGAGAAGGUGCUGCAUGGCUGUCGU